ACCGAGGUGGUGGAAUUGGCAGACACGCUAUCUUGAGGGGAUAGUGCUGUAAAGCGUAUGGGUUCAAAUCCCAUUCUCGGUA
rnacentral:tRNA from 1 species